GCUCAGCCCUGGGGGCACUUUCUUGGUACCUGCAAAGAAAGUGCUGUCAGAGUUGAGGAU
rnacentral:pre_miRNA from 1 species